rnacentral:rRNA from 1 species
UACGUAGGGUGCAAGCGUUGUCCGGAAUUAUUGGGCGUAAAGAGCUCGUAGGCGGUCUGUUGCGUCGGCUGUGAAACCCGAGGCUCAACCUCGGGCCUGCAGCCGAUACGGGCAGACUAGAGUUCGGCAGGGGAGACUGGAAUUCCCGGUGUAGCGGUGAAAUGCGUAGAUAUUGGAAAGACCACCAAUGGCGAAGGCACUCUACUGGGCCAUUACUGACACUGAGAGACGAAAGCUAGGGGGAGCGAAUGGG